rnacentral:rRNA from 1 species
AAAGGAAUAGACGGGGGCCCGCACAAGCGGUGGAGCAUGUGGUUUAAUUCGACGCAACGCGAAGAACCUUACCUACUCUUGACAUCUAGCGAAGAUUGUAGAGAUACGAUUGUGCCUUCGGGAACGCUAAGACAGGUGCUGCAUGGCUGUCGUCAGCUCGUGUUGUGAAAUGUUGGGUUAAGUCCCGCAACGAGCGCAACCCUUAUCCUUAGUUGCCAGCACGUAAUGGUGGGAACUCUAGGGAGACUGCCGGUGAUAAACCGGAGGAAGGUGGGGACGACGUCAAGUCAUCAUGGCCCUUACGAGUAGGGCUACACACGUGCUACAAUGGUAUGUACAGAGGGAGGCAAGCUGGCGACAGUGAGCGGAUCUCAUAAAGCAUAUCGUAGUCCGGAUCGCAGUCUGCAACUCGACUGCGUGAAGUAGGAAUCGCUAGUAAUCGUGGAUCAGAAUGCCACGGUGAAUACGUUCCCGGGCCUUGUACACACCGCCCGU